AGCUAACCUUAGUUCCUCUCACUCUGUCUAAUCUGAUUGUGAGACUUCAGUUACCAGCAAAAAUCUAAGCAAAAUUCUUCCUGCUCACUGCUUCUUGGGGCUCUCCUGUGCACUCCUUCCACUGAGCAUUCUGAUCUUUAGACUCAGGCGAAAAUACUGCUCUCCUGGGACCAGCACUGUGUCAUAGUGGGUGAAGCUGCUGCCUGCAGUGCUGGCAUCCCAUAUGGGCUCCGGUUUGAGUCCCGGCUGCUCCAGUUCCGAUCCAGCUCUCUGCUAUGGCCUGGGAAAGCAGAAGACAGCCCAAGUCCUUGGGCCCCUGCACCCACUUGGGAGACCCGGAAGAAGCUCCUGGCUCCUGACUAGGGAUCAGCACAGCUCCAGCCAUUGCGGCUAAUUGGGGAGUGAACCAGAGGAUGGAAGACCUGUCUCUCUCUCCUCCUCUCCUUCUCUAACUCUGACUUUCAAGUAAAUAAAUAAAUCUUAAAAAGCAAA